UACGUAGGGACCGAGCGUUGUCCGGAUUCAUUGGGCGUAAAGAGCUCGUAGGCGGCUGCUCAAGUCGAAUGUGAAAACUCGAGGCUCAACCUCGAGACGCCGAUGGAAACCAUCUAACUAGAGUCCGGAAGAGGAGAGUGGAAUUCCUGGUGUAGCGGUGAAAUGCGCAGAUAUCAGGAAGAACACCCGUGGCUAAGGCGGCUCUCUAGUACGGUACUGACGCUGAGACGCGAAAGCGUGGGGAGCGAACAGG
rnacentral:rRNA from 1 species